rnacentral:sRNA from 1 species
GGGCGGACACCACUUGUUCUGGCUACUCAGAUGAGUAGGCCAACAAUAUGUCAACUGCUGAUAGAUAGAGGAGCGGAUGUUAAUUCCAGAGACAAACAAAACAGAACUGCCCUCAUGCUAGGUUGCGAAUAUGGUUGCAGAGAUGCAGUAGAAGUCUUAAUUAAAAAUGGUGCUGAUAUAAGCUUGCUGGAUGCGCUUGGCCAUGAUAGUUCUUACUAUGCAAGAAUUGGUGACAAUCUGGACAUUCUAACCUUGUUGAAGACUGCAUCGGAAAAUACCAACAAAGGGAGAGAACUUUGGAAGAAAGGACCAUCUUUGCAACAGCGAAAUUUGACACACAUGCAAGAUGAAGUAAAUGUGAAGUCACAUCAGAGGGAGCAUCAAAAUAUUCAGGAUUUGGAGAUUGAAAAUGAAGAUUUGAAAGAGAGGUUGAGAAAAAUUCAGCAAGAACAAAGAAUACUUUUGGAUAAAGUCAAUGGUUUACAGUUACAGCUGAAUGAGGAAGUUAUGGUUGCUGAUGAUCUGGAAAGCGAGAGAGAGAAGCUGAAGUCCCUUUUGGCAGCUAAAGAAAAGCAACAUGAAGAAAGCUUAAGGACUAUUGAGGCUCUGAAAAAUAGAUUUAAAUAUCUUGAGAGUGAUCAUUUAGGAUCAGGAAGUCAUUUCAGUAACCGUAAGUAUAAAAGUAUGAAUUAUCAUUACAGUUCACCUAGUUCAAGCAAAGAAGAAUGUUUAUUCUUACUUGUUUAACUAUACGGGA